AAAUUACCCAGUUAUACAUGUAUAAUGCCUGAUGUUAAAAUAGUGCGACAUUAAUCGUAUGCUCGUUGUUCGGAAAAGUCUGUUUAUAUUUUUGGUCCUUGCGUUUUACCUUAUCUGACGGCAUUCUAUAAACCACUGCUCUGUGAUUGGACGUUAUUGUGAACGUAGCGUGAUUACUUAAAUGCUGUCGAUAUAUAUAAGCAGAUCGUGAUAUAAUGACAGGUAAAAAGUCGUCAAAAGAGAAAAAACGAAAACAUUCUCACUCCGAUGGACGGCAUCUAGAUAGAAAGAGGCGAAGCACAGAAUCCAGACUAAAGGAUGUGAAAAGUGAUCGUGAGAAUGAAGGUGUAGAAGAGCCAAGUGAUAUUGAGGAAGGAGGAUUAAACUUAAGUGUGCCUUUCAGACCUAUUAGUGCCUAUAUCACUGACAGGAAAGAGAUGCUGGAACAGUGCUUCAGAGUUAUAGGAGAAAAAACACUUCAAAAAAUGCUUCCUGAUGAAUUAAAGAACUGUUCAUAUGAUGAAAUCAAAAAACUUUGCAUGGAUCAACUAGAGCAAAUUUCAGAGAAAAAUCUUCUCCAAAUUCUUGAAGGUGAAGAUUUGCUUCCAUCUGCUGAGGUUAAAGAUGAUGGGAAAGGAGUACAAAUGAGGAAAACUGAUACAGAAACACAGCAGGAUAACAGAGUGGAUUCUACUUCUUCAUUCAAACAGGCUGUUGGAAAUGAAGAACAUAAACAAGGACCUGCUUCAGGGGAAGAAAGUGAUGCACUCAGUAUUAAUGCAGACACAUAUGACAGUGAUAUAGAAGGACAUAAAGAAGAAACUGAAGAAAAGGAGAAGAUAACAGAGGAAAGCGAUACUUCAGCUGCAAAAAUACAAAACCCAGACCCCAAAAAAGAGCUACAGAAUGAUAUUGAAAAGAGUGUGAAUGAAAUCCUGGCUUUAACAGUUCCAAAUCAAGUCGACCCCAAAUCGGUACCACCUGUAGAGCCUGUAGCAGUUGCUGCUGAGGCCUUAGACACCAAUAAACCUUUAACAGGACUACAGCCAUCAGUUCAGCAAUUGGAACUCCUUGAACUAGAGAUGAGGGCGAGAGCAAUCAAGGCAUUGAUGAAGGCUAAUGAAGCAAAGAAGCAGGCACUGGGAUAAAGCAUCAAGUUUAAAGAAGCGUAUUUCUGUUGAGGGAAUGAAAAACAGUUCAUAAUGAAAGAAUGAAGCACCACCACCAUUAGUUUACCUGGACUCCUGAAGAAACCAGCCACUUCCGGGUUCCUUUCUUCCCUCUGGUCCCCUCCUGAUGACGUCAUUCCUCCCACCCCCCACCACAGUUUCUUCCCAGCAUCCCAUCUGUUCACUUCUGUUCCCACCUCAAAAAAUUGCUCGCCUGUCAACUCCUCAUUUGUCUGUUAAGUUGUACAAGAACCUGACUGACCAUGAUUUCUUUACAGUAUACAGGGAUGGAACCCCAAACCUU